rnacentral:rRNA from 1 species
CGCUAACUCCGUGCCAGCAGCCGCGGUAAUACGGAGGGUGCAAGCGUAAUCGGAAUUACUGGGCGUAAAGCGCACGCAGGCGGUCUGUUAAGUCAGAUGUGAAAUCCCCGGGCUUAACUGGGAACUGCAUUUGAAACUGGCAGGCUUGAGUCUCGUAGAGGGGGGUAGAAUUCCAGGUGUAGCGGUGAAAUGCGUAGAGAUCUGGAGGAAUACCGGUGGCGAAGGCGGCCCCCUGGACGAAGACUGACGCUCAGGUGCGAAAGCGUGGGGAGCAAACAGGAUUAGAUACCUGGUAGUCCACGCCGUAAACGAUGUCGACUUGGAGGUUGUGCCCUUGAGGCGUGGCUUCCGGAGCUAACGCGUUAAGUCGACCGCCUGGGGAGUACGGCCGCAAGGUUAAAACUCAAAUGAAUUGACGGGGGCCCGCACAAGCGGUGGAGCAUGUGGUUUAAUUCGAUGCAACGCGAAGAACCUUACCUGGCCUUGACAUCCAGAGAACUUAGCAGAGAUGCUUUGGUGCCUUCGGGAACUCUGAGACAGGUGCUGCAUGGCUGUCGUCAGCUCGUGUUGUGAAAUGUUGGGUUAAGUCCCGCAACGAGCGCAACCCUUAUCCUUUGUUGCCAGCGGCUCGGCCGGGAACUCAAAGGAGACUGCCGGUGAUAAACCGGAGGAAGGUGGGGAUGACGUCAAGUCAUCAUGGCCCUUACGGCCAGGGCUACACACGUGCUACAAUGGCGCAUACAAAGAGAAGCGACCUCGCGAGAGCAAGCGGACCUCAUAAAGUGCGUCGUAGUCCGGAUUGGAGUCUGCAACUCGACUCCAUGAAGUCGGAAUCGCUAGUAAUCGUAGAUCAGAAUGCUACGGUGAAUACGUUCCCGGGCCUUGUACACACCGCCCGUCACACCAUGGGAGUGGGUUGCAAAAGAAGUAGGUAGCUUAACCUCCGGGAGGGCGCUACCACUUUGAUCGG